UAAGCCGUGUUUAUGCGGUGGCAGAGCCAUAACAUAAACGUAAUGAGCCAUAAACAGGAAUAUAUACCAGUGCAACGAUGGAAAACUUCAAAUCGUUUCAAGCUUAUCAACUUGGCAAAACAUGCAGCCACGUAGCGGCCCUGCUAUUCAAAGUCGACGUCAUCAACUAGUUGGGCAUGUGAAUGGAAUAAAUUAUUUCGCAAAGAAGUGCAUUUUAUCUU